rnacentral:misc_RNA from 1 species
GGAAGGAUCAUUAUUGAAUUUGGUUCCGUAUGGACCAAUGUGAGUCAUCAUGGAUGCUUUUGGUGUUGUCGGCUGUUUGGCUGAUUUCUCUAGGCGUGCCUAGAGCAACACCAGAAGGUUAGUCAAACUUUAUUGAGGUUGUGUAGAAAUUUGUAUCUAAAGUUAAAACUUUCAACAAUGGAUCUCUUGGCUCCUGCAUCGAUGAAGAACGCAGCAAAUCGCGAUAAUUAAUGUGACUUGCAAAUUUUGUGAAUCAUCGAGUAUUUGAAUGCACAUUGCACUUUCUGGUGUUUCUGGAAAGUAUGCUUGUUUGAGCAUCAAUCUUAUAUCCUUGAAAAGCUCGGUUGUGUCUGUCAACCCUUUUGGUGUUGAAGAUAUGAAGUUCAUCAUGGUUUUGGACACAGACAGUUUCCUGUUGUCGGUCAAAAGUAAUGGAAUAGUUGCUUGACUGGGGGAGAGGAAAUUGUAUGUGCCUGACUUGUGUGGGAAAAAGAUUAAGAAUGUAGAUUUGAUCUCAAAUCAAGCAAGAUUACCCGCUGAACUUAAGCAUAUCAAUAAGCGGAGGAAAAGAAACUAAUAAGGAUUCCUUUAGUAACGGCGAGUGAACUGGGAAUAGCUCAACUUUGGAAUCAAACCAGGCAACUGGUUUGAAUUGUAACCUACAGACGUGUUUACAGUGAUGCUGCAUGGUCUAAAUCCUUUGGAAUAGGGUAUCAAAGAGGGUGAAAAUCCCGUCUUUGCCAUGCCAGCAAUACAGUUUGUUACACUGUCAACGAAUCGAGUUGUUUGGGAUUGCAGCUCUAAAUGGGUGGUAAAUUUCAUCUAAAGCUAAAUAUUGGCAGGAGACCGAUAGCAAACAAGUACCGUGAGGGAAAGAUGAAAAGAACUUUGAAAAGAGAGUUAAACAGUAUGUGAAAUUGUUGAAAGGGAAAUGUUUGGAAAUGAAAUUGCCGGCGGUGCUUCAAAAGAGACUUUGUUUCUUUCCAUGGCACCGCCGGCUGGUCAACAUCAGUUGACUUGGAUUGAUGUGGCUUGCAGGUCUGGAAUUCUUUGAAUUCCACCUGCAAACUUUAACUCCAAGUCGACUGAGGCACAUAACUCACCACUUUGGUAGGUCUUUUUGGCUGAUAUUCCAAUCUAGGUUCCUAGCUGCUUGCAGCUAGUUGCCAAUGUUGGGUAUCUUCCAAUGAAGACCUUUGAGUUCUUGAUGUUGACUUAAAGUUUCCAAACAUCCCGUCUUGAAACACGGACCAAGGAGUCUAACACAUAUGCAAGUGUUUGGGUGGCAAACCCGGUCGCGAAAUGAAAGUGAAUUAAUGCCAAUCCUCGGAUGCAGCAUUAAACCGGUCUGGAUUUUUAUGAUAGAUCUGAGUAUGAGCAUAUUUGUUGGGACCCGAAAGAUGGUGAACUAUGCCUGAAUAGGGUGAAGCCAGAGGAAACUCUGGUGGAGGCUCGGAGCGAUUCUGACGUGCAAAUCGAUCGUCAAAUUUGGGUAUAGGGGCGAAAGACUAAUCGAACCAUCUAGUAGCUGGUUCCUGC